rnacentral:rRNA from 1 species
GAAGGUGUGCUGUGAGGCAUGCUGGAGGUAUCAGAAGUGCGAAUGCUGACAUAAGUAACGAUAAAGCGGGUGAAAAGCCCGCUCGCCGGAAGACCAAGGGUUCCUGUCCAACGUUAAUCGGGGCAGGGUGAGUCGACCCCUAAGGCGAGGCCGAAAGGCGUAGUCGAUGGGAAACAGGUUAAUAUUCCUGUACUUGGUGUUACUGCGAAGGGGGGACGGAGAAGGCUAUGUUGGCCGGGCGACGGUUGUCCCGGUUUAAGCGUGUAGGCUGGUUUUCCAGGCAAAUCCGGAAAAUCAAGGCUGAGGCGUGAUGACGAGGCACUACGGUGCUGAAGCAACAAAUGCCCUGCUUCCAGGAAAAGCCUCUAAGCAUCAGGUAACAUCAAAUCGUACCCCAAACCGACACAGGUGGUCAGGUAGAGAAUACCAAGGCGCUUGAGAGAACUCGGGUGAAGGAACUAGGCAAAAUGGUGCCGUAACUUCGGGAGAAGGCACGCUGAUAUGUAGGUGAAGUCCCUCGCGGAUGGAGCUGAAAUCAGUCGAAGAUACCAGCUGGCUGCAACUGUUUAUUAAAAACACAGCACUGUGCAAACACGAAAGUGGACGUAUACGGUGUGACGCCUGCCCGGUGCCGGAAGGUUAAUUGAUGGGGUCAGCGCAAGCGAAGCUCUUGAUCGAAGCCCCGGUAAACGGCGGCCGUAACUAUAACGGUCCUAAGGUAGCGAAAUUCCUUGUCGGGUAAGUUCCGACCUGCACGAAUGGCGUAAUGAUGGCCAGGCUGUCUCCACCCGAGACUCAGUGAAAUUGAACUCGCUGUGAAGAUGCAGUGUACCCGCGGCAAGACGGAAAGACCCCGUGAACCUUUACUAUAGCUUGACACUGAACAUUGAGCCUUGAUGUGUAGGAUAGGUGGGAGGCUUGGAAGUGUGGACGCCAGUCUGCAUGGAGCCGACCUUGAAAUACCACCCUUUAAUGUUUGAUGUUCUAACGUUGACCCGUAAUCCGGGUUGCGGACAGUGUCUGGUGGGUAGUUUGACUGGGGCGGUCUCCUCCUAAAGAGUAACGGAGGAGCACGAAGGUUGGCUAAUCCUGGUCGGACAUCAGGAGGUUAGUGCAAUGGCAUAAGCCAGCUUGACUGCGAGCGUGACGGCGCGAGCAGGUGCGAAAGCAGGUCAUAGUGAUCCGGUGGUUCUGAAUGGAAGGGCCAUCGCUCAACGGAUAAAAGGUACUCCGGGGAUAACAGGCUGAUACCGCCCAAGAGUUCAUAUCGACGGCGGUGUUUGGCACCUCGAUGUCGGCUCAUCACAUCCUGGGGCUGAAGUAGGUCCCAAGGGUAUGGCUGUUCGCCAUUUAAAGUGGUACGCGAGCUGGGUUUAGAACGUCGUGAGACAGUUCGGUCCCUAUCUGCCGUGGGCGCUGGAGAACUGAGGGGGGCUGCUCCUAGUACGAGAGGACCGGAGUGGACGCAUCACUGGUGUUCGGGUUGUCAUGCCAAUGGCACUGCCCGGUAGCUAAAUGCGGAAGAGAUAAGUGCUGAAAGCAUCUAAGCACGAAACUUGCCCCGAGAUGAGUUCUCCCUGAC